rnacentral:lncRNA from 1 species
CCAAGGCGGGGGACUGGGGGGGACGGGGGUUUCCGCGUGCGCUCAUUUGUGAGAGAGUGUGGGAGUGUGUGUGUGUGUGUGUGUGUGAGAGGGCGUGGAUGGUGAGAGGGGCUGCGAGUGUGUGAGACUGUGCGUGUGAGACUGUAUGUGAGAGACUGAGCGAGAGUGUGAGAGACUGUGUGUGAGAGACCGUGUGUGUGAGAGGCUGUGUGUGAGAGACCGUGUGUGAGAGACCGUGUGUGUGAGAGACCGUGUGUGUGAGAGGCUGUGUGUGAGAGACCGUGUGUGUGAGAGACCGUGAGUGUGAGGCUGUGUGGGAGAGGCUGUGUGUGGGAGAGAGUGGGCUGGCGAGGGAGAGGAGAGCGUGUGUGUGGGGCGUGAGAAGCGCGCGCACACGGUCGCGCUCUCGCGGGUCCGCGGCCGCCUGGCCCCGGGGCUGUGCGGCGGGCGCCUGUCCCGAGCCUCCGGCCGGCCUGUGCGCGUCACCGCCCCUGUCCCGGGCCCCGCGGAGGCUCCGCGCGUGCUGCCUGGCGGGGUUGGUUGGUGCAGCCUUGGGAGCGUCCGGUGGGGUGUCUGCCUUUGUGUGUGUUUCAAUAACUGGGCAACUGCUUUGGAGGAAUUUGCAGAUUACCAAGAAAGAAGUCACUGAUCCUUCACAUAAGAAUGAAAGGAAGAAGUCAAUGAAGAGAUGUGUGGUGAGCCAUGUUGUGAAAGGUGUGGAUAUGCUUCUACCUUUGGCUGCACGAAUACUAUAAACUUGACACGAGAAAAACUUUUGAAGAGAAUUGGCUUCCUAGGCCUGCCCAGGAAUGGGGGAAGCAUGCUCUGCUCCUUGGUGAUUUCCUGGUUCUGUGUCCUCUUCCACUCCUAGGUGUGAUUUCCUGCUCCUCCAGAGAAGAACAAUAAGAGUACUCCCUGGAAUCCUGCACCUACUGCGACCUGCCCAAAUCUGGGGAUCAGACGUGUGGAUGGGAACCGGAGGACUGUCACAAAGGUCAUUUUGUAGCCUUGUUCCUCAGGUGUCUGGAAGAGAAGGAGCUGGUAGACAGCCUAUUAUUUCCCUCCUUCUCCACCUCUCAUGGGGUGAAUCGGCAGGUACAAGCUCUUUGAGAAAAAUAGCGGGUAGAAGGGACUACGCGUUCACCACCGUCUCUCUGGGACCUUGCUCUGGACUGAAAUCCCCUGAGAACUGCACCUGAGUAGAAGGCUGUACUCCUUCAAGCUUUUUCUCUGAAUCAUUAAUGAAGGAGGUUCUGGGAAGUCUUCGCCUACACAGCAGGGAAUUCCUGAGGAACACUUUUCAGAGACGAAUCGACUCACUGCGGUUGCACCUUAUCCAUUGACCAGUGAAUCAGAUAUUCUAGCCUUUGAGGUUGACCCAGACUCUCACCAAACCCCAUUCUCUACAUUUAUGGAGAGUCACAUUCCUCUGCUUUUGGCCAAAUUCUCUGGAAGAGGACAUCUGUAAUCAUUCCUCUGCAGGGCACUGACAGUGAUGUGCUACACUCUGUCCCAAAUCAAUUACUCUUUGCAAAUGCAGUUGUACUGAAAGAAUUCAAGGCAGUUUGAUAAGGAGUCUCUCACAAAACGUGGUAUUAGUGGGGCAGAAUGAGAAAUGAUAAAAGAGUCUUUGGAAACCUCAGUAUUUGAGUUGGCACAGUGCCUGGAACAAAGGUGUAUCUUCAGGGGAAUCUGAAUUUUUCAUACGGUCAAGUGGAAGCGUGUGGGCAGAUGGAGGCCAGUGCUUCUGUACGAUGAGGUCUUCUGGGAUGUACUCAUGUUUUUUUCUGUGAGUUUUUCCCCUGGAAAGAGUUGCUUGCAUCUCUCACUUUCCUGUAAGACUCUCAUAGUUUUUGUAAAAUUGUGUCUGCCCACUCUCCAGCCAAAUGGGGGAUCUGCUUGUGAUACAUGCCGUCGUCUCCACUCUUCCUAUACUUGAG